AGCAGCCGCGGUAAUUCCAGCUCCAAUAGCGUAUAUUAAAGUUGUUGCAGUUAAAAAGCUCGUAGUUGAAUUUCGGGAUCAAUAUGUUGGUCGUGCCUUGGUACGUACUGGCAUUAUCGAUUCCUACCUUCUGAAGAACCUCGAUGUCAUUAAUUUGGUGUCUUGGGGAAUCAGGACUGUUACUUUGAAAAAAUUAGAGUGUUUAAAGCAGGCUCGCGCUUGAAUACAUUAGCAUGGAAUAAUGAAAUAGGACGUUUGAUUACUAUUUUGUUGGUUUCUAGGAUCGACGUAAUGAUUAAUAGGGAUAGUUGGGGGCAUUAGUAUUCAAUUGUCAGAGGUGAAAUUCUUGGAUUUAUUGAAGACUAACUACUGCGAAAGCAUUUGCCAAGGAUGGUUUCAUUAAUCAAGACGAAAGUUAGGGGAUCGAAGACGAUCAGAUACCGUCGUAGUCUUAACCAUAAACUAUGCCGACUAGGGAUCGGAUGAUGUUAAUUUUUAAUGUACUCAUUCGGCGUAC
rnacentral:rRNA from 1 species